ensembl:lncRNA
GCAGGAAUUAAACGUGUGUUUCCAAGCUCCGGUCUUCUCCUCAGCCACAGAAGACACUUUCUCUCCCAUGGUGCAGGGAUGUUGAUGCCAGUAGGUGCUGACCUGCAGAGAACACGCUGGUGAAGGGAAGCUCUUAACACUUGAGUGACUGCUCCAAGAGCAGUGCUGGGAGGCCAGAAAGAGGCAGGGGGUCUUCCUGAGCUAUGUGCAGUCCCAUGAAAGCAUGACUUCUCUUUCCAGGAGAUGAGGAAACCCCUGUGGCUGUCAGAGCUACUUACUCACAGUGCCACAUCAGCAUGACAGCUCUGAAGAAGCGAGCAGCUGCAAGACGUGCCUUGCUUUGGGGAGGCUCAGCAACAGCUUCUCAGGAUAACGGCAUCUCUCCAUCUACAUCUCAGUGAUGAGUUGCAAACACAGUGCAAGUCAAUCUUUGCCAUCCAAAACAUGCUUAGUAAGAGCGGCAGCGUUUCUCUGAGAAGGUGUGGCAUUGAAUGCAAAUGAACAGUGUCUUGAGAUGGCAUUAAUUUAUGCCACAGAAAAAAAAAAAACCUCUUUCAUCUGCUCCACGUGCUACAUGACCAAAAAUGUGUUGACCUAUGUGUGGCCACACUCAGACCUCUACAAAUGGGGUUCCUUUGGAACUGUUUAUUUUCCACUCUCCAAGACCUUUCAUUGGAUGGAGCACGUUGAAAGGCAAGAAAGAAAGAAAGAAAGAAAGAAAGAAAGAAAGAAAAUAUAUGCUGAGUGACUCUGCGAGAAAGCAUGAGAAAGCCUUACAAGGCAAAAUAAAAAGAUCUGGGCUGUGGCUGGAGGCUUGGUUCCUACCCCAGCUCAGCACUGUGCUCAGCCCAUCCAUGUGCUGGGGAGAAGAGCUUCCCUUGCUGGCUCACAGCUCCCUCCUCGGGAGUGUGCCAGGCUGGCUGCCUGGGAUCCCAGUGGGCAUGGUAGCAACUACAUGGGAGAGCUGCAAGAGAAGAGCAUUCACCAAAGCGUGCUACAUGGAC